ACGUCCGACAUAUUCUUUCUGUCAGCUUUGUGAAUCAGAGGAUGAGAUGCUGGAAAACUCCUAGCACAGGCAAACCUCUGUCCUCCAAGAUGUGGCCCUACAAACUCGAAAAUCUCCCAGAUAUUUUGUGCCAGACAUUGUUCUGAGUGUUGGGGACACAGGAAAGAGCCAAGCACAAUGCCCCUGUCUUCAAGGUACUUUCCAGUAGGGGACAUAAAAAAAUAAGCCAGAAAUAUGUAAUAAAAUGUUAGGAAGGAUCUGACAUUAUAUUAUGCUAUGUUGACUUUAAUCUCCCCAUCUUGUCCAUAAGGGAGUCUGGCAAAUUUAGGCUUCUCCUUACCCAGAAA
rnacentral:lncRNA from 1 species